rnacentral:rRNA from 1 species
UCUGGUUGAUCCUGGCGGAGGUUACUGCUAUCGAGGUUCGACUAAGCCAUGCGAGUCGAAUGUAGCAAUACAUGGCGAACUGCUCAGUAACACGUGGACAACCUGCCCUUAGGUUGGGUAUAAACCCGGGAAACUGGGUAUAAUACCCGAUAGGUCUCGAUUGCUGGAAUGCAUCGAGAUUUAAAGCUCCGGCGCCUAAGGAUGGGUCUGCGGCCUAUCAGGUAGUAGUGGGUGUAGCGUACCUACUAGCCUACGACGGGUACGGGUUGUGAGAGCAAGAGCCCGGAGAUGGAUUCUGAGACACGAAUCCAGGCCCUACGGGGUGCAGCAGGCGCGAAAACUUUACAAUGCUGGCAACAGCGAUAAGGGAACCUCGAGUGCCAGGUUACAAAUCUGGCUGUCGAGAUGCCUAAAAAGCAUUUCAUAGCAAGGGCCGGGCAAGACCGGUGCCAGCCGCCGCGGUAACACCGGCGGCUCGAGUGGUAACCGUUAUUAUUGGGUCUAAAGGGUCUGUAGCCGGCCGGAUAAGUCUCUUGAGAAAUCUGGCAGCUUAACUGUCAGGCUUUCAGGAGAUACUGUCUGGCUCGAGGCCGGGAGAGGUGAGAGGUACUUCAGGGGUAGGGGUGAAAUCUUGUAAUCCUUGAAGGACCACCAGUGGCGAAGGCGUCUCACCAGAACGGACCUGACGGCAAGGGACGAAAGCUAGGGGCACGAACCGGAUUAGAUACCCGGGUAGUCCUAGCCGUAAACGAUACUCGCUAGGUGUCGGCCACGGUGCGACCGUUGUCGGUGCCGUAGGGAAGCCGUGAAGCGAGCCACCUGGGAAGUACGGCCGCAAGGCUGAAACUUAAAGGAAUUGGCGGGGGAGCACCACAACGGGUGGAGCUUGCGGUUUAAUUGGAUUCAACGCCCGGAAAUCUUACC